UAAAUUGAGCUGCCGGGUGUCAUGUUCUCCGGUGCCGGAGCGCGGAGAGGGGUUGGUGCCUUUGGGAUUAGGGAGAGGUGGGUGUCGACGGCUAAGGAGAGGGAGAGACGAGGGCUAAGUCUAGGUUGGGAUCAGGUGGAGGUCGGUGUCGGCGGCGGAGGAGAGGGAGAGAUGAGGUAGGUACGCCCCAACGGUAGGGGUGCUAGAUGACGCGACGACAGGGUUGGUAGAAGGUGAGGUGGAGGCAGAGGGUGGGCGAUAGCGAGAAAGCGGCGGGGGUGGGAGAGGGGGAUACGUCGGAAGAGUCUAGGCGCUACCCUUGUGCGCCACCAUCGUCACGAGGGCGUAGGCGCAGUUCCAGUCGGAACACGAGCAGUAGUACCCGCGCCACCAGUACUGCUUCCACCAACUCCAACCGCUCUACCUGCAACAGCGGAUAGGUGACGGGUCCUGGUUCCUGCCGACGGUAAAAUUUUCACCGUUUAACCCUUUUGCGUGCCCGAGGAAGAGAUUACGCACGAGCGGAGCUAGGCAUUACCGCGGCGGUAGCAGCCGCCUCACAGAAGAAGAAGCCGGUGGUAGGCGGCGGGAAAAGAGGAAGGGGAGGGAUAGGCCGGAAUUAGAAGAGGCCGCGGUGGGCAUCGGAGGAGUUAGGGGUUGGAUGCGAGAGACUAAACCUAGCUUCAACCUAAACCUAGUUUCAAUCUAAGGCACAAGAAGAGGUUGUGUUUCGGUACCUCUCUGAACCAACGGUAUUCUUCCUUCCUCGGAGCUGGCCUUAGAGAUAGUCCAAUGUAGGGAACUUGUCUUAGUUGUAGCUCGAGACGACUCAAGCGGCCGACUUCUUCUUAUAGGCAGUUCGGCAUGUUACAGCGGAGGCGACUCAAGCAGCCUCCUUGUUGUAGGCUGCAGACUUGCACGUAGUCGUCUCCAUUAACUCGAUCUUGUUUUCUAUAAUGUGAACUCAAAUCAAAUCUUCCCAUUGAGGUGAACCCUACCUUGUCUACUAUGAUGUGAAUUCUAUCCCUUGUUGUGUCUAAAAUACAUGGAUUGACAGAUCAGACUAACACUAUACAUUAACAUUAGCCAAUACCACUAGACUUAAAACAUCAACAGUUAGACAUAAACAUGUGAUAUAAACAGUCCUGGGGCUGAGUUUCGGUGUGGCUAGAUCGUACAUUGUGGAGUAUAGUAAAACACCGGAG
rnacentral:rRNA from 1 species